rnacentral:tRNA from 1 species
GGAGAGGUGACCGAGUGGCUGAAGGUGCACGCCUGGAAAGCGUGUGUGCUGUAACAGGUACCGAGAGUUCGAAUCUCUCCCUCUCCGCCA